rnacentral:piRNA from 1 species
UGAGAAAUCCACUGUGAUGAAAGGGUUC